CACGUGGGUGACCUGCCCCCUACUCUGGGAUAAGCCUGGGAAACUGGGUCUAAUACCGGAUAUGACAUGUUCCUGCAUGGGGAUGUGUGGAAAGUCAGUUACUUUUGUUUCUGGCGGUUGGGGAUGGGCCCGCGGCCUAUCAGCUUGUUGGUGGGGUGAUGGCCUACCAAGGCUUCGACGGGUAGCCGGCCUGAGAGGGCGUCCGGCCACACUGGGACUGAGACACGGCCCAG
rnacentral:rRNA from 1 species